rnacentral:rRNA from 1 species
UGUAAGUCGAGCGGAUGAAGGGAGCUUGCUCCUGGAUUCAGCGGCGGACGGGUGAGUAAUGCCUAGGAAUCUGCCUGGGAGUGGGGGAUAACGUCCGGAAACGGGCGCUAAUACCGCAUACGUCCUGAGGGAGAAAGUGGGGGAUCUUCGGACCUCACGCUAUCGGAUGAGCCUAGGUCGGAUUAGCUAGUUGGUGGGGUAAAGGCCUACCAAGGCGACGAUCCGUAACUGGUCUGAGAGGAUGAUCAGUCACACUGGAACUGAGACACGGACCAGACUCCUACGGGAGGCAGCAGUGGGGAAUAUUGGACAAUGGGCGAAAGCCUGAUCCAGCCAUGCCGCGUGUGUGAAGAAGGUCUUCGGAUUGUAAAGCACUUUAAGUUGGGAGGAAGGGCAGUAAGUUAAUACCUUGCUGUUUUGACGUUACCAACAGAAUAAGCACCGGCUAACUUCGUGCCAGCAGCCGCGGUAAUACGAAGGGUGCAAGCGUUAAUCGGAAUUACUGGGCGUAAAGCGCGCGUAGGUGGUUCAGCAAGUUGGAUGUGAAAUCCCCGGGCUCAACCUGGGAACUGCAUCCAAAACUACUGAGCUAGAGUACGGUAGAGGGUGGUGGAAUUUCCUGUGUAGCGGUGAAAUGCGUAGAUAUAGGAAGGAACACCAGUGGCGAAGGCGACCACCUGCCACUGAUACUGACACUGACGGUGCGAAAGCGAUGGCGAGCAGACAGGAUUAGAUACCCAUG